rnacentral:lncRNA from 1 species
AUGGAGAUGAUUUGUGGAGAGUGUUCAUCUGACAAUGAACACUAUUUGUAUUCUGCAAAUGUGGAAGAACAGUCAAGAGCAGUGACAUGGGAAGGUAUUAACAGUUUGAAUGAAUCCUCGGCUUCUGACCUUGAAGAACAAGCAGAAGACGACAGUAGGGAUGUGUCACUGGCAAAAGAACUGUCCACGUGGGCCAGUGAAUACCAGAUAAAACAUAAUGCACUUGACAACCUGCUCAAAUUGCUACAAAGUCAUGGACACAAUGAAUUACCCUCGACUGCCCGGACUCUUUUGCACACUCCCCGACAACUUGACAUAAAGCAAUUAUCUGGAAUGGAAUAUGUUUACUUUCCACUAACACAGAAAUUACAAGCAGCACUAGAAAAUUACCCUCCUGAUCUAGCAGAACUCCAAUGUCUUGAUUUAUCAUUCAACAUUGAUGGCUUACCACUGUACAAGAGUUCCAAAACAUGUAUGUGGCCAGUUCUUUGUGCAGUCAUGUUAGACCCUGUCACCAUUUUCCCCACGGCUCUGACAAGCAGUCUAAGUCGACCAACAGAUCUUGGCUUUUUGGAAGACACAGUAAGGGAACUGGCUCAUCUGAUGAAUCAUGGGAUUCACUACAUGGGAAGAAAAAUAAAAGUAAAUUUGAGGUGCUUUGUGUGUGAUGCUCCAGCUCAUGCAUUAGUGAAAAAUAUCAAACUGUUCUCUGGGUACUUUGGCUGCGACCGAUGUGAGCAAAAAGGUGCAUGGUUAAACAGAGUCACAUACCAAGAAACAGCUGACCUCAAACUCAGGACAGAUGAAACAUUCAGAAAUCAAACACAAAUUCAGCAUCAUCAUGGGAACACACCUCUGUCUCCACUACAACUAUCUCUUAGAAUAGAGCUACUGAAAAGAGAGAGAUGCACAGGAAUAUGUUCAUGCUGGAGAACAACAAGGAGAGUAAUCCACCAGCUGAAGUACAAUCACUUGAUCUUCCACUUGAAGAACAAUCACAAAAAGAUGUUGACAUGGAGAUGA